rnacentral:rRNA from 1 species
GCACAAGCGUUGGAGUAUGUGGUUAAUUCGAAGCAACGCGAAGAACCUUACCAGGGCUUGACAUCCCGCUGACCGGUGUAGAGAUACACUUUUCCCUUCGGGGACAGCGGUGACAGGUGGUGCAUGGUUGUCGUCAGCUCGUGUCGUGAGAUGUUGGGUUAAGUCCCGCAACGAGCGCAACCCUUAUUGUUAGUUGCUACGCAAGAGCACUCUAACGAGACUGCCGUUGACAAAACGGAGGAAGGUGGGGACGACGUCAAAUCAUCAUGCCCCUUAUGUCCUGGGCCACACACGUACUACAAUGGCGGUCAACAAAGAGAGGCAAAACCGCGAGGUGGAGCAAAUCUCAAAAAGCCGUCCCAGUUCGGAUUGCAGGCUGCAACCCGCCUGCAUGAAGUUGGAAUCGCUAGUAAUCGCGGAUCAGCAUGCCGCGGUGAAUACGUUCCCGGGCCUUGUACACACCGCCCGUCACACCAUGAGAGUCGGGGACACCCGAAGUCCGUAGCCUAACCGCAAGGGGGGCGCGGCCGAAGGUGGAUUCGAUAAUUGGGGUGAAGUCGUAACAAGGUAACCGU